rnacentral:lncRNA from 1 species
CGGGAACAGGGCCGGGGCCCCGGGGCAGGCCUAGGCUCCAGGAGUCUGGGAGUGUGUGGAGACCCCGGGGCUCAGGCCGCGCCAGGAGGGGAGGGGGCCCGUGUCCAGAGGUGGGCAAACACAGAGGGAGCGGAGGAAGGGGAAGGCCUGAGGAAAAGGGGUGCAGCCCGAGGAAGAGGUUUCUGGUCUGGAGGGCUGAGGAAGAGCUCUCUCCAGAGUCAGGCCUAGUUUUUGUCUUUUUCUUCUUUAGGGAGCAGAGAUUUCUGUCUGUUCAGACCCCAGUUGACUUCGCAAACAUUGGGCCCCUGCUGCAUGCAAGGUCUGGGCUACAAGGGAGUGAGUGAUGAAGGAGAUGGAGUCCCUGCUUCUAGAACCUGGACACCCUCCCCACCCCCGCCAGUGGCCCCGCUGCUCCUAUCAUGGCUCAGGAGAUUUCCCUGAUGCGUCUACAUCCCCAACCUAUGGAAUGCUUGGGCCAAAUCUGCUCCUUCAAGAAGAACCUCCCCAUGUCAACAUUCCCACGGGCAAGAAGCCCACAUGGGCUGGGCCCCCCACCUACUGUCUAAUUAUCUCUGGCUUUGUGAGAUGAGUUCACAUCGCACCAGCAUGGCCAGGAGCUCCGUGGGGCAGCAUGUGGGUCUUUCUACCUCCACUGCCUAUAUGCCUCGUCCCCCAGACCUGCCUGAGCAUCGGGCACAAGGCAAGCCCCAGCAGGGCUGAUGGCAAUUUUGCGGGCCUGCUUUCAGAAUGUUGGGCAGGCUCUGGGCACACAGGCAAUCGGCUCUGUCAGUCUCCCUGCCCAGUGGACAGGGGAUCCUCCCGCAGCAUCUGGUCAGAGGCAGGAACCCUCAGAUAGUGUUGGCUUCCCUGCCUGGGCCGGGACGCGGAGUCUUAGGUAUAGUGGGGAGCUAAAAGGGAACAGGACUGAAGUCUGAAAAUAUAUGAGGGUCUCUUGGGCACAUGAGGGGCCUCAGAGAUGCUGAUUUCAUGAGCAGAAGGGAACCCCAGUGACUGGGCUCUGUCUAGGGCAUUUACGAAGAGGCAUUUGCAAACCACAGAACUUGUGCCAUUGAACCGAGCUCCCAGCCCCUGUCAGUCCCUUGGCCAGACUCAGUCUCAUCUGCUACUAAAGCCAUCUUUCCGCUUUCCAUGUCACCAACCCCAUGCUGAGGAAGGGAUGGCAGUGUUCAUGCACCUACCCCAGUGCCUGCUACCUUGUGGGUGCUGAGCGGGGUUCAAGGGCAGACACACCGGGAAAGUCAGCGUGCCUCUGACCCAGCUGCAGGCCACACAGCCCAGAGGCUCCUCAGACCCCCUCUGAUAGCACUUCCUGCCGCCAAGCCCUGCCUUCCUAGCAACCGAUCUGAGUUCUUCCCAUGGAAAUGUAAAUAGCUGUUGGUUUAGAGAUCUCCCAGAGCCCUCCUGUUCUCCUGUCCUCAGCUGGUUGGCAACUCCCUUUCUGACUUGAUGACACCGGGCCACGGAGCAGACACCAUCCCUGCCCAGUGCCCCACGCCUCUUCUUGCCAGUCAUCAGGGGUCUCCAGGUGCUUCCUCGCCCCUUCCCCUGCAGCACCCUCGCUCUGGCACCCUCUCGGCUCUGCUCCCUGUCCUUUGACACUCGUGGUGUUGGGUCCAGAAGUCACUGUGCUCACAGAGCCAGCCCAGGCGCACGCCCCUGGCCCACUGUUCACCCGGCUAAGCUGUCCACUCCCGGCUGGCUCCCCUGCCCCUCAGACCUCUUGUGCAUCCAGCUCUGAAGUUUUCUCCUUCCUUUCUUUUUUUUCUAAUUACACUUUUUAUUUUCAGAUAAUUGUAGAUUCACAAGCAGUUAUAAGAAAUAAUACAGAGAGGGGCGCCUGGGUGGCUCAGUCGUUAAGCGUCCGCCUUCGGCUCAGGUCAUGAUCCCAGGGUCCUAGGAUCCAGCCCCGCAUCGGGCUCCCUGCUCCGCGGGAAGCCUGCUUCUCCCUCUCCCACUUGCCCUGCCUGUGUUCCCUCUCUCGCUGUGUCUCUCUCUGUCAAAUACAUAAAAUCUUUAAAAAAAGAAAGAAAGAAAAAGAAAGAACACAGAGAGCUCCUGUACCCUCCUCACCCUGUCUCUCCCAAUGGUGACA